ensembl:lncRNA
CUUUUCUUUUCUUUUCUUUUCUUUUCUUUUCUUUUCUUUUCUUCUCUUCUCUUCUCUUCUCUUCUCUUCUCUUCUCUUCUCUUCUCUUCUCUUCUCUUCUCUUCUUUUCUUUUCCUUCUUUCAAAGCACAGCCAAGGAAAAUGAAAGUUAAAAAGCAAGCAGCACAAAAUCAGAGCUUACAUUUCCAAACCUCAACAUACCACAUGUGCCUAUAAAAUACAGGAAAUGGGUACAAAUGUGAAGCUGCACACAGGAUUAGAGGCACAUGAACACAUUUAAAGCAGGUGGAAAUAAUGUCAGCUGGAGCUAUAACAUUAGAUUUGUACCGGAGCAAAGAGAAGAUGGGGCUAUGCUGCUAUUACAUUAUUCUUGUUACAAUUUUCUGAAAAUAAAUCAUAGACACAAACAAUUCCUGGCAUCCUUAAACAAAUGUACAGAUGUUAGCUGCAUCUCUUCCCACUGCUUUUAAAACAGGAAAGCCUCCAGGCUUUCAGCUCAACUGCAGUGUCUUACAUGUCCAGUAAACUACUUUGUCAACAAAAGGAGCCUUGGGGAACAUCACUGAAGUGACUUCUUUGUCAGCUGGCAUUAAAGUAUCAUGCAAGGCCAACACACGACAUCAAGCUAUUGGGAAAUCUGGCCUGGUGAGAAAUUUUUCUUGAAUAAGUGUGUCGUGCGUUAAAACAAUUAUGGGAUGUACACAAGACAAAUAAUAAGAUGGCCUGUACUGCCCCCACAGACUCAUCCCUGCAAGAUCAUCACAUGUGGGCAUAACUGUCCACAAAAAUGUCUCCAUUUUCCCCUACUAAUUCCCAAGCAGGACACCUUCAGGAGCAUUACAUCAGAAAGAGCCUGGCAGGAUUGGCACAAGGUCCACAGAGGAACACCCUUUUCAUGUCUUUUCAAAGAAUCCUCCCUGUGGUGAGGUAGAAGUAACUUGUCAUCAGCUAUACCCCAAACAAUCAUCUCCACUCUGAAGGUCCUGGGGGCAGCUGGAUCUGCCAGAGCCGAGGAGCCAGCAGGGAGAGGGGUCGGCCCUGGCACAGAGGCACAGAAUGGGAUGGUCCUGACUCAGUUUGCAUCCUCUGGGAUAUGAGUUGCUCUGCGUGCACAGUUGGUAAAGUUUACUGCAUCCUGUGCCUCUCCUGCCAAAGUCUCAUUCACAGUGAGGAUUCAAAUCAAAGGCUCUCCUGCCUCUACAGCCCUGCCUCCUCGUAAGAGGUUAGGUUACACAUUUUCCAUGGACUAGAGGAGUGCCCACAUCCUACAGCUUAAAAGCAAAAAUUAAAGAAUUGACUGGAUCCAAAGAAAUUUUUGUUUCCAAAAAGACUAAAUAUGAAUGAUUUCAGAGUCUGGAAUCCCUUCACUCAGUGCUUUCCGAAACCCUAGCCGUGGUUCCAAAAUCUACUGAGAGAGAAAAAACAAGCAAAUCUUUUCCACUUCUAAAGAUAUGGCAUACUUGCUUCAGUGCCCAUUAAACAAGACAGUAAGUUUUCCUCCUCUUCGCCAGGUAAAACUAUAGAUAUUCCUUCCCAUUCUCUUGUACUGUCUUCCAGAGCACACAUAAAGCACCAUCUGGCCCUUCAUUAACUCUAUUUGAUUUCUUUUGAUCCCAUGUAAAUGAUGAGAAAAAGAUCUAAGACUCUCUUCUCCUCUUUACACAUAUGCAUAACUCACAUCAGUGUCAAUGGGAGUUAAAUAUCCCUCUGGAGAGGAAGAAAUAGAAACCACUGUGUAUUUCACUGCAGCAUCUUUGACAUUGCAAAAUGGAAACAAAGUUGUCCAAAACCUAAUUCCCAGAGUAAAUUCCUCCAAGUUUGAAAGUGGACCUGUGUGAGGAUGUAGAAAUACCAGAUGCUGUGACAGGACACAACAGGGUAGCUGAUGUUCUUAUUCCUAAGUCAAAACACCUCAGUUGCCAUGAAUUCAAGUGGUAGCAGCUCAAAGAGAAAAAUAAAAAAAAU